rnacentral:rRNA from 1 species
UCUAAUACUUCAUAAUAUCCAUCUCGUAUGGAUUAAAGCUUUAUGCGCUUUGGGAAGGGGCCUGCGUAACAUUAGCUUGUUGGUGAGGUAAAGCUCACCAAGGCUUCGAUGUUUAACUGGUUUGAGAGGAUGACCAGUCACACUGGGACUGAGAUACGGCCCAGACUCCUACGGGAGGCAGCAGUAAGGAAUCUUCCACAAUGGGGCAACCCUGAUGGAGCAAUACCGCGUGCAGGAUGAAGCGUUUCGGCGUGUAAACUGCUUUAUCACCGAAGAUUAUGACUGUAGGUGAAGAAUAAGGACCGGCUAACUACGUG